rnacentral:tRNA from 1 species
CGGCCCGUUGGUCAAGUGGUUAAGACACCGCCCUUUCACGGCGGUAACAUGGGUUCAAAUCCCGUACGGUCAU